rnacentral:rRNA from 1 species
UACGUAGGGCGCGAGCGUUGUCCGGAAUUAUUGGGCGUAAAGAGCUCGUAGGCGGCUUGUUGCGUCGGAUGUGAAAGCCCGGGGCUUAACCCCGGGUCUGCAUUCGAUACGGGCAGGCUAGAGUUCGGUAGGGGAGAUCGGAAUUCCUGGUGUAGCGGUGAAAUGCGCAGAUAUCAGGAGGAACACCGGUGGCGAAGGCGGAUCUCUGGGCCGAUACUGACGCUGAGGAGCGAAAGCGUGGGGAGCGAACAGG